rnacentral:rRNA from 1 species
AUACGGAGGGUGCAAGCGUUAAUCGGAAUUACUGGGCGUAAAGCGUACGUAGGCGGUUAUUUAAGUCAGAUGUGAAAGCCCCGGGCUUAACUUGGGAACUGCAUUUGAAACUGGGUAACUAGAGUUUAGUAGAGGGGAGUGGAAUUUCAGGUGUAGCGGUGAAAUGCGUAGAGAUCUGAAGGAACACCAGUGGCGAAGGCGACUCCCUGGACUAAAACUGACGCUGAGGUACGAAAGCGUGGGUAGCAAACGGGAUUAGAAACCCGAGUAGUCC